rnacentral:rRNA from 1 species
UCUGGCUCAGGAUGAACGCUAGCUACAGGCUUAACACAUGCAAGUCGAGGGGCAGCGGGAUUGAAGCUUGCUUCAAUUGCCGGCGACCGGCGCACGGGUGAGUAACGCGUAUCCAAUCUUCCGUACACUCAGGGAUAGCCUUUCGAAAGAAAGAUUAAUACCUGAUAGUAUCUUAAGCACACAUGUAAUUAAGAUUAAAGAUUUAUCGGUGUACGAUGGGGAUGCGUUCCAUUAGGUAGUAGGCGGGGUAACGGCCCACCUAGCCAACGAUGGAUAGGGGUUCUGAGAGGAAGGUCCCCCACAUUGGAACUGAGACACGGUCCAAACUCCUACGGGAGGCAGCAGUGAGGAAUAUUGGUCAAUGGACGAGAGUCUGAACCAGCCAAGUAGCGUGAAGGAUGAAGGUCCUACGGAUUGUAAACUUCUUUUAUAAGGGAAUAAACCCUCCCACGUGUGGGAGCUUGUAUGUACCUUAUGAAUAAGCAUCGGCUAACUCCGUGCCAGCAGCCGCGGUAAUACGGAGGAUGCGAGCGUUAUCCGGAUUUAUUGGGUUUAAAGGGAGCGCAGACGGGUCGUUAAGUCAGCUGUGAAAGUUUGGGGCUCAACCUUAAAAUUGCAGUUGAUACUGGCGUCCUUGAGUGCGGUUGAGGUGUGCGGAAUUCGUGGUGUAGCGGUGAAAUGCUUAGAUAUCACGAAGAACUCCGAUUGCGA